rnacentral:pre_miRNA from 14 species
AAUACAGGAUAGCCAGUUAAACUUGAGUUUCAGAUAAAUGACGAAUAAUUUUUAAAUCUGAGUAUAUAUGCAAUAUUUGGGACAUGCUUACGCUAAAAAAUUAUUUGUUGUCUAUCUGAAAUUCAAAUUCAACUGGGCACCCUGUGUUUU